rnacentral:rRNA from 1 species
UACGGUCGCAAGACUGAAACUCAAAGGAAUUGACGGGGGCCCGCCCAAGCGGUGGAGCAUGUGGUUUAAUUGGAAGCAACGCGAAGAACCUUACCAGGUCUUGACAUCUUUUGACAAUCCUAGAGAUAGGACGUCCCCUUCGGGGGCAGAGUGACAGGUGGUGCAUGGUUGUCGUCAGCUCGUGUCGUGAGAUGUUGGGUUAAGUCCCGCAACGAGCGCAACCCUUGAUCUUAGUUGCCAGCAUUCAGUUGGGCACUUUAAGGUGACUGCCGGUGACAAACCGGAGGAAGGUGGGGAGGACGUCAAAUCAUCAUGCCCCUUAUGACCUGGGCUACACACGUGCUACAAUGGACAGAACAAAGGGCAGGGAAACCGCGAGGUUAAGCCAAUCCCACAAAUCUGUUCUCAGUUCGGAUCGCAGUCUGCAACUCGACUGCGUGAAGCUGGAAUCGCUAGUAAUCGCGGAUCAGCAUGCCGCGGUGAAUACGUUCCCGGGCCUUGUACACCCCGCC